AAUAGAUACCCAGGUAGUCCACGCCGUAAACGAUGAGUGCUAAGUGUUAGGGGGUUUCCGCCCCUUAGUGCUGCAGCUAACGCAUUAAGCACUCCGCCUGGGGAGUACGGUCGCAAGACUGAAACUCAAAGGAAUUGACGGGGGCCCGCACAAGCGGUGGAGCAUGUGGUUUAAUUCGAAGCAACGCGAAGAACCUUACCAGGUCUUGACAUCCCAUUGACCGCUAUGGAGACAUAGUUUUCCCUUCGGGGACAGUGGUGACAGGUGGUGCAUGGUUGUCGUCAGCUCGUGUCGUGAGAUGUUGGGUUAAGUCCCGCAACGAGCGCAACCCUUGAUCUUAGUUGCCAUCAUUUAGUUGGGCACUCUAAGGUGACUGCCGGUGACAAACCGGAGGAAGGUGGGGAUGACGUCAAAUCAUCAUGCCCCUUAUGACCUGGGCUACACACGUGCUACAAUGGACGGUACAAACGGUUGCCAACCCGCGAGGGGAGCUAAUCCGAUAAAACCGUUCUCAGUUCGGAUUGUAGGCUGCAACUCGCCUAC
rnacentral:rRNA from 1 species